rnacentral:rRNA from 1 species
GAUGAACGCUGGCGGCGUGCCUAAUACAUGCAAGUCGAGCGAACGGACGAGAAGCUUGCUUCUCUGAUGUUAGCGGCGGACGGGUGAGUAACACGUGGAUAACCUACCUAUAAGACUGGGAUAACUUCGGGAAACCGGAGCUAAUACCGGAUAAUAUUUUGAACCGCAUGGUUCAAAAGUGAAAGACGGUCUUGCUGUCACUUAUAGAUGGAUCCGCGCUGCAUUAGCUAGUUGGUAAGGUAACGGCUUACCAAGGCAACGAUGCAUAGCCGACCUGAGAGGGUGAUCGGCCACACUGGAACUGAGACACGGUCCAGACUCCUACGGGAGGCAGCAGUAGGGAAUCUUCCGCAAUGGGCGAAAGCCUGACGGAGCAACGGCGCGUGAGUGAUGAAGGUCUUCGGAUCGUAAAACUCUGUUAUUAGGGAAGAACAUAUGUGUAAGUAACUGUGCACAUCUUGACGGUACCUAAUCAGAAAGCCACGGCUAACUACGUG